AAACCAAUCUAUUAGGCUGCUUGGAAAACAGAGGGAGAAAGAAGAACAAUGAUUUUGUAAACUCCAUAAAGGCCAAAAAAAGGCUUUCAACAAAUGCUGUGCUUCAUGAAGUUAAAGGAGAGGGGCUCCCCAUGGAACAAAGGAAUGAAAUCUUGACUGCCAUCCUUGCCUCGCUCACUGCACGCCAGAACCUGAGGAGAGAAUGGCAUGCCAGGUGCCAGUCACGAAUUGCCCGAACAUUACCUGCUGAUCAGAAGCCAGAAUGUCGGCCAUACUGGGAAAAGGAUGACGCUUCGAUGCCUCUGCCGUUUGACCUCACAGACAUCGUUUCAGAACUCAGAGGUCAGCUUCUGGAAGCAAAACCCUAGAAGGAGCACAAAUCUCAGGCGGAGGAGAAAAAGAGAUCGGCUUUUCUCCUCCAACGUUGUCAUGGGCUUAAGCAAGGGCAGUGGAGACUUCUCUUGGCCCCUAGAUUGUAGCACCCAGGUCCCAAUCCAAAACAGCUAGGAAAUGGUGCCCACGAAUUUUUAAAUGUUUUAAAAUGACCCUGUGUUAUAGUCUGAUUUGGUGUGAAACAGGACCUUCUUCCCCAAAAAUUGUUCAGAUUAUAAAAUGUGAGCCAUUCAGCCCCCAAGGUCCAGGGCAGGCGACAGGAACGAGCCCAGCGUGUGACAAAGCCUAACCUACUUUCCUCUUUCCCAAGCUUUUUCAGAGACUCUGGAGUGGACCCAGCCCUCUGGGGAAAGACAGAACUUAGAGACAUCCCAGUUUCUCACCACACCCCUAGUGCUGUCCGAUAUGGUAGCCACUAGCUAGCUGUGGCUACUUCAAUUUAAAUUCAGUUCUAAUUUUAAUUAAAAAUGCAGCUCUUCAGUCGCCCUGGCCACAUUUCAAGUGCUUAACAGCCUCAUGUGGCUAGUGACUGCUGUAUUGGACGGUACAGAUAUGGAACAUUUUCAUCAUCGAAGAAAGUCCUAUCAGACAACACUUGUAUAAAAAGUUUGAGAGCAGGAAUUCUCAUUUCCAUUCGUCUGUAGCCUCUAUCCCCAAAGGCAAAGAAACUGAAAGAGAAAUGACUCAUUGAA
rnacentral:sRNA from 1 species